rnacentral:rRNA from 1 species
GAUGAACGCUGGCGGCGUGCUUAACACAUGCAAGUCCAACGGUGAAGCAGAGCUUGCUCUGUGGAUCAGUGGCGAACGGGUGAGUAACACGUGAGCAACCUGCCCCUGACUCUGGGAUAAGCGCUGGAAACGGCGUCUAAUACUGGAUAUGCGCUGCGACCGCAUGGUCAGCAGUUGGAAAGAUUUUUCGGUCUGGGAUGGUCUCACGGCCUAUCAGCUUGUUGGUGAGGUAAUGGCUCACCAAGGCGUCGACGGGUAGCCGGCCUGAGAGGGUGACCGGCCACCAUAGGCCUGAGAGACGCACCAGUGUCGUACGGUAGGCAGCAGGGGCGAAUCUUGCCCAAUGGGCCCAAGUCUGAUGCAGAAGCGCCGCGUGAGGGAUGACGGCCUUCGGGUUAUAAACCUCUUUUAGCAGAGAAGCAGCGAAAGUGACGGUACCUGAAGAAAAAGCGCCGGCUAACUACGUG